CCCUUCUCCCACACCCCCCCCCCCCCCCCAUCUCGUCUGAUCUCGGAAGCUAAGCAGGGUCGGGCCUGGUUAGUACUUGGAUGGGAGAGGGU
rnacentral:rRNA from 1 species